CGUGAAGGACGGUGGCAGUGUGGAGGAGCCGAGGAGGAGGUAGGCCGUGUGGAGGAGCAGAGGAGGAGGAGGCGGCGCUGUGGAGGAGCAGAGGAGGAGGAGACGACUGUGAUGUGGAGGAGCAGAGGAGGAGAUGGUGGCGCUGUGGCGGAGCAGUGGAGGGGAGACGGCGGCUGUGGAUGGGAGGAAAUGGAACCAAAACAGCCCCUUUAUCACGCCAUAAAGUAUAUUUAUAAUAUAUACAUUUAACCAACAAAUGUGCUGGAAUAGCUCAGUUGGUUAGAGCGUGUGGCUGUUAACCACAAGGUCGGAGGUUCAAGCCCUCCUUCUAGCGU
rnacentral:tRNA from 1 species